AGAAUCAACGCUGGCGGCGUGCCUCAGACAUGCAAGUCGAACGCGAAAGGCUCCUUCGGGGGCCGAGUAGAGUGGCGCACGGGUGAGUAACACGUAGGUAAUUUGCCUUUGGGUGGGGAAUAACUCAGGGAAACUUGAGCUAAUACCGCAUAAUGCAGCGGCUCGACAUCGAGACAGUUGUUAAAGCGGGGGAUCGCAAGACCUCGCGCCUGAAGAGAAGCCUGCGGCAGAUUAGCUAGUUGGUAGGUAAUGGCCUACCAAGGCGACGAUCU
rnacentral:rRNA from 1 species